GAUGAACGCUGGCGGCGUGCCUAAUACAUGCAAGUCGAGCGAACGGACGAGAAGCUUGCUUCUCUGAUGUUAGCGGCGGACGGGUGAGUAACACGUGGAUAACCUACCUAUAAGACUGUGAUAACUUCGGGAAACCGGAGCUAAUACCGGAUAAUAUUUUGAACCGCAUGGUUCAAAAGUGAAAGACGGUCUUGCUGUCACUUAUAUAUGGAUCCGCGCUGCAUUAGCUAGUUGGUAAGGUAACGGCUUACCAAGGCAACGAUGCAUAGCCGACCUGAGAGGGUGAUCGGCCACACUGGAACUGAGACACGGUCCAGACUCCUACGGGAGGCAGCAGUAGGGAAUCUUCCGCAAUGGGCGAAAGCCUGACGGAGCAACGCCGCGUGAGUGAUGAAGGUCUUCGGAUCGUAAAACUCUGUUAUUAGGGAAGAACAUAUGUGUAAGUAACUGUGCACAUCUUGACGGUACCUAAUCAGAAAGCCACGGCUAACUACGUG
rnacentral:rRNA from 1 species